AUACGGAGGGUCCAAGCGUUAUGCGGAAUCAUUGGGUUUAAAGGGUUCGUAGGCGGGUCAAUAAGUCAGAGGUGAAAUCUUGCAGCUCAACUGUAAAAUUGCCUUUGAAACUGUUGACCUUGAAUUACUGUGAAGUGGUUAGAAUAUGUAGUGUAGCGGUGAAAUGCUUAGAGAUUACAUAGAAUACCGAUUGCGAAGGCAGAUCACUAACAGUAUAUUGACGCUGAUGAACGAAAGCGUGGGUAGCGAACGGGAUUAGAAACCCCAGUAGUCC
rnacentral:rRNA from 1 species